AGAAGUGACAGGUGGGUGCAUGGUUUGUCGUCAGCUCGUGUCGUGAGAUGUUAGGUUAAGUCCCGCAACGAGCGCAACCCCUAUCUUUAGUUGCCAGCACUUAGGGUGGGCACUCUAGAGAGACUGCCGAGGAUAACUCGGAGGAAGGUGGGGAUGACGUCAAAUCAUCAUGCCCCUUAUGUUUUGGGCUACACACGUGCUACAAUGGCUGGUACAGAGGGCAGCGAUAGAGUGAUCUGGAGCAAAUCCUAAAAGCCAGUCCCAGUUCGGAUUGUAGGCUGAAACUCGCCUACAUGAAGCUGGAGUUGCUAGUAAUCGUGAAUCAGAAUGUCACGGUGAAUGCGUUCCCGGGUCUUGUACACACCGCCCGUCACACCAUGGAAGUUGGGGGCACCCGAAGUCAGCCGAUAAAGGCUGCCGAAGGUGAAUANCAAGAUGAGGGUGAAGUCGUAACAAGGUACCAAGCUACAAGUGAAUGCUGCUGGCCGCCGGCAUGGCGAUCCAAAUGGGAGAGCUCCCNAACGNCGUUGGUUGAUCUUUGUAUUUCUGU
rnacentral:rRNA from 1 species